CAAGAAGACGCGGCGCCCUCACCGGCGUCGACCUUCAAACCACUGUGUACCAACCAUUCAGUUGCCUCCGGCUGGACUGCACGCCCGCGAGGGAUGCGCGGUCGGAUGGCCCGUAACCAAACACUGUUGAGAUGGCAUCGUCUGAUCUUCAAACAAAUACAAAAGUA
rnacentral:misc_RNA from 1 species